ACGACGUGUCAAAGUGAAUUGAUAGUUAUGUGAAGAGUUCGUUUUCAAAGGCUGGAAUAAGUUUACAAUUCAUAAAUCAUCUGCCUUGACAAUCUAUAUGUGGGAUUUAAUUCGCGACGAGAACGCAAGUAAUCUCGUCGCGGAAUUUGAAUGAGGGCCUUACUGGACCGGUGAAUAGUUUGAUAACAGUUCCCCUCUAGAUAGAUGAAGGGGAAAGGAGGGACAAGAUCAUUCGCCGUCGGUUGGCGGACUAUUCAGUGCCGCGACCGACACUGAUUUCAAUUGGUAAAUUGACU